UACGGGGGGGGCAAGCGUUGUUCGGAAUUACUGGGCGUAAAGGGCUCGUAGGCGGCCAACUAAGUCAGACGUGAAAUCCCUCGGCUUAACCGGGGAACUGCAUCUGAUACUGGAAGGCUUGAGAUUGGGAGAGGGAUGCGGAAUUCCAGGUGUAGCGGUGAAAUGCGUAGAUAUCUGGAGGAACACCGGUGGCGAAGGCGGCAUCCUGGACCAACACUGACGCUGAGGAGCGAAAGCCAGGGGAGCAAACGGG
rnacentral:rRNA from 1 species